GUGUUCCCUUCUAUAAUUCCUUUAAUUAUUCCUAUUAAUAAGUAAAAUCAAUUAUCAUUUAUAAUGAAUUUAUCUGUCGCAAAUAUUUUCCAAUCAUGUUCAUUGAUUACAAAUGUAGGUUGAUUUUUGUUCAGCAAGGAAACUGGUAUCAGGUCUGUUCGCAUCCUUCACGUUCGCACCUCACAUGUUCGCCCCCGAAGUCUGUUCGCACCCUACACGUUCACGCCCAAUUUUUAUUCUCAUUUCAGCUAUAUGUUUAUACCAAAUAAUCAUAUUUUCUUA
rnacentral:lncRNA from 1 species